rnacentral:lncRNA from 1 species
GUGUCUCGAUUAUUCUGUAAGGCCCUUCUCAAUUUGGAGAUAACUUUUUCUGAUCUACAGGUCUUAAAACUUCAACUUUUCUUAGGACUAGAUCUCCUAGACGAAAGACCUUCGACUUAAUUUUUGCAUUAUAAUACUGGGCUACUCUUUGCCGAUAUACUGCCAUCUGAAUUUGAGCUUAUUGUCAAACUUCUGAAAGUAGAUCUAGA